rnacentral:rRNA from 1 species
CUUGACAUCCAGCGAACUUUCCAGAGAUGGAUUGGUGCCUUCGGGAACGCUGAGACAGGUGCUGCAUGGCUGUCGUCAGCUCGUGUUGUGAAAUGUUGGGUUAAGUCCCGCAACGAGCGCAACCCUUUAUCCUUUGUUGCCAGCGAUUCGGUCGGGAACUCAAAGGAGACUGCCGGUGAUAAACCGGAGGAAGGUGGGGAUGACGUCAAGUCAUCAUGGCCCUUACGAGUAGGGCUACACACGUGCUACAAUGGCGCAUACAAAGAGAAGCGACCUCGCGAGAGCAAGCGGACCUCAUAAAGUGCGUCGUAGUCCGGAUCGGAGUCUGCAACUCGACUCCGUGAAGUCGGAAUCGCUAGUAAUCGUGGAUCAGAAUGCCACGGUGAAUACGUUCCCGGGCCUUGUACACACCGCCCGUCACACCAUGGGAGUGGGUUGCAAAAGAAGUAGGUAGCUUAACCCUCGGGAGGGCGCUUACCACUUUGUGAUUCAUGACUGGGGUGAAGUCGUAACAAGGUAGGCGUAGUGCU